UUUCCUCCCUAUAUGUGAGGAUUGCUAAUUACACUAACCAAUCAACAUAUUGUUGUGGAGAAAGAGACGUAUAUCAGAUUGUAUUUAGCAGAGAAUUGUCAACUUUGGCACCGACGUUUUAGUAAUAAUAGCUGAGUGGGCUGAGUGCACAACAAACAAGGUACAUGUGCAUCUUAUCUCUUUCUUUACUCGUGUGUAUUUUAUCAAAGCUCAAAUUGAAACAUAACAUUUAUACAAAACCUAACAUUAUGCAUUUCUAACAGUUUAUUUGGUUGGUUCGUUUAACUGUACGUUUUUUUUCUGUAGAACGUGAAGUCCACCGUUGGACUUAUAAAUUUGUUUCACCUAAAACAUAUUAUUUUAUAUUAUAUUUAAAAUUCAUAGAAAUUAAUUUUUGUAAAACAUACCUACUAACCUAAGGAGAAAAAACGAUACAAGUUAAGCUAUGCAGUGCUAGUAUUAUCCAUUCAUAUGCUCUCCCUUCUUUGUCACUCUCCACAAUUGUAUAGGUUGUCCUUUGGGAUCGUAGUCUCGUGGAGUAUCCUCCGCGGUUGCGAAUGUGUAAGCAUGCGACUCUUUUGAUAGAGCUGAGCGUUUAGAGUGAUGCGUUGCAUUUUGGAGAAUGUUAUAUUGACUAUACAUUUGUGAACAAACUUUGUCAGUGUGCAGAUAGUUUGCUUCUGAUUAUGUAUAUGAAAAUGUUGGUAAUUUACGAUUUAUGUUGGAAAUUUAUGAUGUAUGCGUAUGAGUAAUAAGUCUACCGUUUUACCAAAAAAAAAAAAGUCUAGUAUCACCUUGUCUAUCAAUAUCUUAGCUAGCUAGCUAUCAAUUACACCUAUAGACACUUUUUGUCUUUGCAAUAACAACAUAAGACACUUCCUACUUGUCACACACUUCUGGUGUGGUGUUUGUCAAAUAUACCCUCGGACUAAAUCAAACUCUCGUUACUUCAGAUACCAAUCUCUUCUUUUUAUUGAUUUAUUUUUUCAAUUUAAAAAUGUAAAAUAAAAAAGCACUUUCCCAAUUGUGUUUUCGAAUCCUUAACUCUAAUUUUGACUAAACUUCAUUCAAGAUAGUGAUUCAGUGUUUGAACCCAAAUGAUCUCGUGUGGCCGUGCUCCAGCUCCUCCUCCUCGACCGCCGGUGAGCCACGCCAUGAAUUCCGAGCUCAAGAUCUUCGUGGAUGGCCGCCGGUGUUCGUUUUCUUCCGGGGAACAACAGAGUCAAGUGUGGUCCCAUCCAGAGAGCACAUUGUGAGCUUUCCCAAUCUGAUUCUACAAGAAACUCUGCUUUUGAACAAUUCAAGAACUCUGGAGGAUAUACAACGGAAAUGAGUAGUAUUGUGGUGACUGGACUUAGCACUCACACCUCUCCUGUUGAGAUGCAUGAGAAGCUUUCUAUCCAGAAGCUGAAUGACCACGAGCUAUUGGAUGAUGUGCUCAGUACUUGCAACUGUAUAGAGAUUUAUGUUUAACUCUUUCUCAGCAGUGUAGAAUUAAAGAAGUCACUGAAUAUAUAUCAAAGUGGAAGAGACAAAGUUACCAAGGGGAAGAAAAGUAACGAAGAAGCUGUUACAACACCAGUUACCAAAAGGAAGAAAGAUAACGAAUGACAAGCUUUAUGCAACAGAGAGCUCUGUAUCUCUUGCAAAUGGUUGUGACCCUCUAAUUGCAUCACUCUUUGUUCUAAGGGAUGACAAGCUGUUUGAUGGGAAUUUGAUUAUUAAUUCUAUAACUGAUCUUACUAAUAUACUUUCUAACUA